AACUGAACAAGACUUGCACAGAAUGAUGGCCACAAGGAUCUUUAUGAGGUCUACAGCCAUAAAUUUUGAAGCUGAAGAGGCUGAACCAGGAACCAUCUGAGCUCUCCUUCCCGCACGAAAUGAACAAUACAACACUGCCAAGAUUUACUGCACAGAGCUCAACUGCUGGGUGGAGGAUAGCUGCAGUGACAGGACUAAUGCAAUUCACAUCAGGGCAUUCUGUGGACCAGUAGUUAGUUGAUGCCAGAGCCACCACACUGCAGUUCUGCUGGAUGAUGCCGUACGUCUCUAUCCCUGCCAUCCAAUUCUGAGCGCUCACUGCGCUGUUCAGCAAAAGGGUUUGUUAGAAAAAAAGAAGAGUGGACAACAUAAUCCCGUUUCGAGUAGCAUUACAGCUAUUUAUGCCAAACAGCGGAUUUCUCUAGAAAAAAGGAAACACGCAGCCACCCGAGGACUCUGCCCUGCUUCACAGCUGGCCUCAGGCAGCUCCGCUGGCCUCGGUAGGGCCAGGACAGCGCUGGUAUUCCUGCCAGGUCUGCUGCUGCGAGCACCACCUCACUGCCACCUUCCCACUGGGCCUAAGAAACCGUCCCAGGAGUCAUGGGAGCACUGCUCACCACCAGCGCAUGUAACAAAACAAGGGCCCCAAGACACUUACCAGAUGGGAUGCUGUUUUUCUUGUCUGUUUGUUUUUGCUGAUGGUUUGGUUUGUUAUUUUUGGUGGGUGAAUUUUUGAUACUGUAUCAGGAAGCCUUAAAUGAAACAGAAAUAAAUUUUGUAUUCUCAGAUUUGCUAAUCUUUCCAAAAUAUGAUUAUUGACCUGUUUCUUUUCACUUUAUCUUGCACUAAUGUUCCGAUUCUAACAGACAACAUAACUUAGGACAGAAUUUCAAGAAAAACAGUUAACUGUUAAGCUCCACGUUGUUUUUCUCUCCCCCACCGUAUUUUCCAAUCAAACACAAUUCCUUUGCUGCUAAAUGCCUUCAAAAUCAGCCUGAUGCUGAAGCUUUAAAAUUACAACAAAACAGAAAAGUAGGGCAGGCAAGCAGAGGAGAUUUUUCAGAUGCAGUCAUGAUGGCCAUAAAUCCCAAUUCCACUGCAGUCAGUAUUAAAGAGCACCUUGCUGCCACUGCCAGCAGGGGUGGGCUGCUGGCCUGAAGUCCGAGUCCUGCAUUUGUGUGGCAUACCAAUGGGGCAGCUAGAAAAAUGUGAGCAGUUCACAGAAUCACAGAAUUGUCUAGGUUGGAAGAGAACUCAAGAUCAUCAAGUCCAACCUCAGCAGUUCUUACAGUCUGCCGAAAAAAAAAAAAAAAAGUGCUAGGAGUACAAUGCUUGCAUUCAUUUUCUUCAUGCUUGCCUCACUUGGAAAUUAUUCUCUUUUAUGUAAAACACUGCUAGGCGCUGACUUAUCAGAGAGCUGUGCUUCCCUCAGUUCAGUGGGUUUAUUUUGGGUCUGCGUUGCAAGCAACAGUCUAAUUUUGGCUCCAAGACUUGUGGUUGGCCAGGUACGCUCUAUGAAUAAAGUCAACGGCUGCUGCAGAAUGGCAUAGCCUCACUUUUACUGAAACACAGUAGCAGAUUGUAAGAACUCUUUUCUUUGAAUUGACUACCUUUCUUUCAAUGCGCCUUAUGUCAGUAGACAAUUACAUUGUCAAAUGUGUAUGCAAAUACACACAAACUUGACAAAACCUGGAUACUAUUACAGUUGCUGCAAGCUUGCAGUCCAACUGUGCUAAUCGAUCCUGGCAGCUGGAAAUUACCUUUUCCUUUACAUUCUCCCAGUUAUUCCGAGGUAUUUUCGGGACCAGCUGACACCCAAAUCUAUGCUGUCAGGUUCCACGGGAGGCAGUGAGUAACAGCAGCUCUUCUGAUAUGCCAGCAGCCUAUGGUAUCACCUCAUUGAUUUGUGCUAUGCCUGACAGCCCCAAACUUGCUCCUACAAGAGGUGCAGUCUUCCUAUUUUUAGAUAUGCUGUCAGUAAUUUUUUUCCAAUAUAAUUUCUGCAUGGUUAAAUCCUAAUUAGGCACCUAAGGUGCACUUUCCAGGUUAUGUCAAGUGCAAAACUCUCUUUGAUCAAUAUUGUUUCUCUGCCCACUCUAUUCUUGUCUUCAGCUGCCAGAUGUGCUCUGAAAUGCCAACGAGCCUCCAGCACAUACCGCAGCGCAGCGUAGUCAGCACGCUGCUACAUCCUUUGUGGUCUUCCAGCAAGAGAAGGCUGUCAUGAAUCAGGACUUACCUGGUUGUGGCACUGACAGCUGGCGUCGCUGCGCUUAUGAGUUAUUUAGACUGUUGCAUUUACAAAACAAAAGAACUGCAAGGCCCUACAUAAUGGCAAACAAAUGAGCAAAUUUGACCUUUUAGCAUGUAUUAAGUUAAAGUGCCUCUGCAGGGAUGAAAAACAGAUGAACUACCUCAUGCUGCUAGAAGAAGCUGUAAUAUUUACAGAAAGCAAUGUUCAUUCUUGCAGUGUUCACCAGCCCUUGUAUUAACUGUGCUGGAGCUUUCAUUCUUUACAGAAACCAAAGAUUUUCUUGUGAUCAUUGAAAUAACAAACAGCCAACUUCUUACCCUGCUUUAAAUAGUUCUUUUUCCCGAUGUGCAAUACACACCUAAAAAGAGUUUAAGCCAUGUUACUCUAUGCUUUUAGAUUCUAAUGCCCCACUGUUCUUCCCACAUACUGUGGUCAAAGGCAAAACCUCCAAAACCCCAAGUGGCAGCCGCUCCAGGCUGUCAAAAAAAGGGAGAAAAAAAAGGAGGUGGGUGGGGGGGAGAACUUUCUUGCUGUAGAACAGUGAAUCAGAUCUAUAAAGUCUUUAUGUGUCUUUAACAGGUUAGACAGCAGUCUGUUGGGAUGACACAAAUAAAAGACAUGCUUCCCUGGGGCUUGGAAACAUCCUGGGGACUGUUCCCAUCAGGUGGUUCCAUGAGCUCGUUGUGAAGAUCACAUUUACCGAAACUAUGAAGGAAUUGGGAAGGGAAUUCUGCAACAAUUACUUGGUUUAUUUCUGGUUGCAGACAAAUUCUUCUUCAAUGACUGUGAGGAAGAAGUUCUUGAGAGAAGUUCUUGAGUUCCUGUGGUGUUUAGGAAAGCUUCAGCUAUGAGAUAAAUGCCUUCCUAUUUGCCUUGGCACGUUGCUUGGUUGGCUUGGCUCAGUCGCAGGGGAGGCAAGCCUCUUCACCUGGAACAAUCCGCCCACCAACAAAAUCUUAAGGAAAAAACUGCUUGAGAAAUGAAGCUGUUUGUUUUUUGUUUUUUUUUUCACCUGCACCCUUGCCCUCCAUCCAGCCUGGUAUUUGCUUGAGUGGGAAGGUUGCUGCUUGUAGCUUGUGUCUCUGGCGAGGAGCUGUGAGCUCCUUCCCCUCCACUCCCGUCCCUGUGCCCCGGGGAUAAUGGGGAUUGCCUCACGGGACCUGGUAGUAGUUACAUUUCAGACUCAGAUGGCAAAGCUAUCACUUUUUCAAACAAAAGAAAGGGAUAAGCUCAUAUCCAGACAGACCUAUGGAAAUUAAAGGGAAACACGGCUCAACUUUCACUUGGUGAACUCACCUAUAAGGCAAAUGAACCGGCCACUGCUGAAACAAACAGAAGGCCCUUCUCGGGGCAGGGAGCAUCACCUUCCUACCAGGUCUCAAGUUGCCAAACCACUCCCAAGGAAGGGUAGAUCUUGGAGGAGCUGCAGAAAGGUAUGACUGUGAGGUAACAGACCUCAGACCUUUGGUUGUUUUUGUGUUUUCCUUUUGUUGUUCUGUUGUGUGAUUCUGUGAUUAUUUUUUUUAACCUGUCUCUAUUCAAUCAAAUUAAUUCCUGGCACAACUCUAUGCAAGUCACCCCAGGGAAGAGUUUGGACUGUUGGGUGACCAAGGUUUUAAUGUAGAAUGGCAUUUUGCCUUUGAAAUUGCCAUUUGAGACAAUGCAAUAAAGGGAAACGCAUAAAUAAAUGCUAAGACAAACAACAAUUCUUAAUAAAUCUCUUUCUCUUUGUACCGUAAGGUCUGUUAGAACACAAAGCUAUCUGAUCUAACUUUUAGAAAUGCGUUACCUCCACUGGUGGCUGGUCUUUCCCCAUUUUGCCCUCGGGCUGCUGUGUGGUGCCCCCUCCCUGACCACUGCUGAGUAGGAAGCCGAGUGCUGCCUUGAGCUGGAGGCUCAGCAGCUGCUGCCCUGCACCUCGUUUCUUCCUGGUCAGGAUCAGGGCAAUUCUGGCCCUAAACCAAGAGUGGUUGAGAUGCAUGUGUUAUUAAGUCAGGUGGUUUGAUAGAAAAAUA
rnacentral:lncRNA from 1 species